rnacentral:rRNA from 1 species
AUACGGAGGAUGCAAGCGUUAUCCGGAUUUAUUGGGUUUAAAGGGUGCGUAGGCGGUUUGCUAAGCGGGAGGUGAAAUGCCGGCGCUCAACGUCGGAAGUGCCUCCCGAACUGGUGGACUUGAAUGACUCUGCCGUGGGAGGAAUGUGUAGUGUAGCGGUGAAAUGCUUAGAGAUUACACAGAACACCGAUUGCGAAGGCAUCUCACGAAGGGUUGAUUGACGCUGAGGCACGAAAGCGUGGGGAUCAAACAGGAUUAGAUACCCUGGUAGUCCACGCAGUAAACGAUGAUGGCUAACCGCUGGUUUAUUCGGAUCAGUGGCCAAGCGAAAGCGAUAAGCGAUCCACCUGGGGAGUACGACCGCAAGGUUGAAACUCAAAUGAAUUGACGGGG